CCCAACUCAAUUUUAUUGUGCUUAUAAAUCCAAGGUGCUUCAAUUUUCUUCAACAGGAAUGUGGCAUGUUUAACCGACAAGGCACUAACAGACAACGAAGGGAGGUACUUAUUAUGGAUGGGUAAAAUCAAUAAUGUUGAGUAUAGAAUUGUGAAUAUGUAUUUUCCCAACACCGGUCAAUUAAUUUUUUUUAGGAAAAUGACGCAUCUGGUGAAUGAAAAUAUGAGAGGUA